GACAAAAGAAGGAAGGGAAGGGAGGAGGGGUGUGAAAAAAAAAAGGGAGGUUGAAAUAGAGGAUGGGAUAUUGGAAUAAGAGACGGUAUCAUAUAAUGUAAAUUUUAGCUUAAGAAUACACUAAGCACUUAGUUGUAGAAGAAAAAUAGAAAAAUUCAAUAAUAAGAUCUUAACAAGUCUAAUAGAGUCUUGAAUAAACUGUAAUUAAAUAUUAACAAACUUAAUGAAACUUUAAAUAAUCUAAUUUUUUUAAAGAAAUUACUAAAGAAACUUGAAGAAGUCAUAAGAUAAUUUUAAAAUAAAAAUUAAUAUAA
rnacentral:lncRNA from 1 species